rnacentral:sRNA from 1 species
UAUUCCUUAUCUGUGUCUAAUACGUUGAUUAUCUGGAACCUGUCCCAUUGCGCUCUUGCCCGUCAUACUUCGACUUGUCUCAUGGUUGGCUUCACGUCCUCACCCCAGUCACUUACUAAAGUAAGCUCCUGAGGACUCCGACGCUUGCCGCCGCGAUACAAGCCGAAUCAUUUAGGGCAACUGAAGCGAAGAACGCAAUAAGACAGGUUCUGCGUUUAGUUGCCGCGCUCUAAAUU